CAUGUUUGGAAUAACAGCAUUUGUCUUCUGAGUCACUGCUACACAUGAUGGAGCCCGGCUUUCCUGGAGACGGUUGAACACCUGCCUGCCCAUGGGAAGCAGUGAAUUAAUCCCUUGAUUUGCUUUGCCUGUGUGUGCUUUUGCUUUCCCUGUUAAACUGUAUUUAUCUCAACUCACUAGUUUUUCACUUUUAGUCUUCCAAUUUUCUCACCCAUGCUAUAAUGAAGGUGUGUGUGGGGAUAAGAGAAUAACUGUGUGGGGCUUAUUUCCUGACUAAACAAGACCUCUCUGGUAAAAUAACACCAUCCAGAGGGGUCUUGACAGGCUUGAAGAGUUGGCCUAUAGGAACCUCUUAACAUCCAACAAGGCCAAGUGUAAGGUGGUGCACCUGGGUCAGGUCAAUCCCAAGUGUCAAUACAGGUAGGGAGAGAAAUGGAUUGAGACUUGGGAAUCCUGUUGGAUGAAAAAUUUGAUGUGUCUCGACAGUGUGCACUUACAGCCCAGAAAGCCAACCAUAUCGUGGGUUGGAGCAAAAGAAGCAUGGCCAGUAAACUGAGUGAUUCUGUCUCUCUUCUCUGCUCUGGUGAGACCCCACCUGGAGUGCUCUGUCCAGCUCUGGGUUCCUCAGCACUGGAAUGAUAUGGCCCUGAUGGAAUGAGCCCAGAGGAGUGCCAUAAAAAUGAUCAAAGGGCUGGAACACCUCAUAAGGAAAGGCUGAGAGAAUGGUGUCGUUCAGCCUGGAGAAGAGAAGGCUCCAGAGAGAUCUUAUUGCCACCUUUCAGUACUUAAAGGCAGCUUAUAAGAAAGAUGGAGGGAGUAAUUUCAGCAGGAUCUGUAGUGUUGGGACAAGGGACAAUGGUUUUAAAUUGAAAGAGACUAUACCUACGUUUGACAUAAGGAAGAAGUCUUCUACGAUGGGAGUGGGGAGGCAUUGGAACUGGUUGCCCAGAGGAGCUGUGAAUACCCCAUCCAUGGAAGUGUUCAAGGUCAGGUUGGACAUGGUGUUUGAGAAACCAGGUCUAGUGAAAAUUGUCUCUGCUCGUUAUAGGGAGCUUGGACUAUAUGAAUUUUAAAGGUCUUUUCCAACCCAAACCAUUCUCUGAUUUUUAACAUAUAUGCCAUUUAGGAAUGGGCUGAGGGAGAAGAAGGACCUAGGGCAAGACCAUCAGUAAAACAUUAGGCUACUGGCAUAUGGGACAUUCUUCAUCUCUCUUACUAACAUGUCUGUAACUGAAAAUAUGAUGGUGCCUCUUGAUUUAGAUGUAGGGAAAUUACAUACAAGCUAAUGGUGUUACUCUGCAUCUACACUUCUGCACAGACAACAACAGGAUUCAACUACUUGUACUUAAUCAUCCCAAUAAUAAUGGUUUAUAUUAUGAAUUCUAUCACAGUUUGCACAGAGACAGAUGAGCAGCGAUGGAUGCCUUUGGAUAUUAGAUGAGGAAUGGAUAUCUAUCAUACCAAAAUCUGGACAUUUUUAUAUUAAAUAGAUGGCAGUAAAGCAUUACACAGUUUAUCAUCCUAAUUAAAUUGUUGCAUUUUUAGUAUGGAAACCCUGAAAACUACAAGCCUUGAUCUAUGAUGAAUGAUGCAGUCAUUUUUGUACUGUAAAGUAAAUGCCUCUUCUUGCUGUGCAGUGCUAAUUUGAGGAAGGUUCAUCCUAGGCAGUCUAAGACAUUACUUUCUUGGCUUUCUAGUGUAGAAAUACAAUACCAAUAAGACAGUUCUACCAAGUAUUUUAACCUCUUUUUGUAAGUAGUAUAGUGAUCAUAGUUAUUGUGUAUGGUUUGAAUGAAAUUUUUCUGUCUUUCAGGUAAAAAGAAAACAAUUUUUCCAUAUAAAGACUAAUUAUGAAGUAUUGAGUUGGUCAUGUCAACAAUAUAUAGGUUUUGUUAAUUUGUGCAUCAGCUCGUGGAUUGCUGAUUGGGCAACAGCCUUGAAGGAUAGAAGGAUCAUUAUGUUUUAGUUCAGCGUCUUUGAACAAAAACAGCAUUAAAGCAAAGAGGACACUUAAAUUCCUUGUAAAAAACCCCUACAGAGCCAGGGAAACCCCUUUCAGAGAUCUAUCAGGUUCAUUGUCUGACUUGUUUAAUUUUUCCUGGAAAGUGGUAGAUAAGCAUGAUAUUUAUUUUCAGAAAUGAGAAACUUAUCAGUAACCUAAGAGUUUACAUGUUUGAGAACAGGCUAAUUGGGUAAAACAGCCUUAGAAAGGCAACGCUGUAUAGGAGCAAUAAAUAAAAUUUUGAUACAACUUAAUUAAAGAACAAGCAACUGUACAGAUUACAAUAAUUAAUACAUGGCCCGUGGUAAUGGAAAUACAUGAAGUGGUGGGUGGCUUUGGUUUGUUUGUGUUUUUUUUUUUUUGUUUCUUUGUUUUUAAUUAGGAAUGUAAUUUAAAUAUGUACAUAAGAUAUUUACUGACAUUGUCAGUGCACUAGUCUUGACAGUCAUUGAUCUAGAUACUUUUGGGCACUAAAAAUGCCAAAAGAAUUACCCAUACGAGACUUAGGAAUCCUAGAAGAUAUGAAGCCUUUAACAGCAAUUUUUCCUGGAAGUUUCUUAAUACAAGAGACAAAUAAUUCUUACAGAGUUCAAAAGGACUGAUUGUUGCAGGUUGCAAACAGCUUUUGGUAAAAACUCUGCACUGUUGAGAAUUAUAUGUUUUCUCUGACAAUUUAAAGUAAGAACACAUUUGAAGAGGGAAAAAAUAUGGACUUCUGACUCCAUAGGCUGUCUGAAUCCUGUGAAUCUAAAUUACUUAUUUGUACAGCAGUUGGGAGUUCCAGCAGAUUAUUUGCCUAAAACACAGCUAGGUCUUGUGACAGUGCCUUCCUCUUUGGCAAGUCAAAUGGGCUUUCUUCAUGUCAAGCCUCAACAUCCCCUGGCACAGCUUUGAGCCAUUCCCGUUUGUCUUGUCACUGGAUACCGGGGCAAGAGCUCAGCAUCUCCCUCUCUGAUUUUCCCCCUCAGGAAGCUGUAAAGACCAACAAGGUCAUCCCUCAGCAUCCUUUUCUCCAAACUAGAAAAAUCCAACGUCCUCACAGGACAUUCCUUACAGCCCUAUCACCAGUUUGGUUGCCCUCCUGUGGGCGCGUUCAGGGACCUUCACAUCCUUCUUAAAUUGUCGGGCCAGACAUCCUCGCAUUGCUCAAGGUGGGGCUGUGCCAGUGCUGCAAACAGCAGGAUAAUCACCUUGGACAGCUGUCUGUGCUGUGUUUGAUGCUCCCCAGGAUGGGGUUUCUCCAGGCACACUGUGACUCAUACUGGUCCCCCAGGUCCCUUUCUGCAGGGUUGCUCUGCAGCCACUCCUCUCUCAGUUUAUGUUUGUGCCUGGUGUUACUAAAUCUCAGGUGCAUUUGUACUUGUUCAGUUGGUGCCACUGACGAUUGCUGAAUGCACCAAACUAUCCAGAUCCAUCUGGAAGGCCUCUUUUCCCUUGAAAGUCAACAGCACCUCCCAGUUUGGAAUCAUCAGCAGGCUUACUAACAGUGCAUUUGACUCCUGGAUCCAGGUCAUUGGCAAAUAUAUUGAUUAUAGGCAAAUAUAUUGAACAGCACAGCCCCAGAAGUGAGCCCUGAGGAGCACUUCUGGUGACCUGUUGCCAGCAGGCUGUAGCCCCAUUCACUACAAUCCUUUGAGCUCUUCAGACAGUUCUUCACCCAGUGCACCCUGAACCUACUCGUUCCACAGCUGGACAACUUGCCCAGGCAGAUGCUGUGAGGGACAACACCCAAAGUCUUAAAAAGGUCCAGAAAAACUAUCUCCACCAGCUUCCUUUUUUCUACCAGGUGAUGAAGGUUCCCAUAUCUGUUCUUUGAGGAUGUCUGUGAAUGUGAAAUAAGACAUUAGAUUGCCUCCCCAUUGGUCACUGUCUAUGUCUGUCCCUUUUAGUCUGUGCAAAGUAAUUUUAGUGCUUAUUGUCUUCUCAGUUUCACCCACCUGAUUCCUGACAGAGUGUUUUGAGGGCCUACUGCUCCAUAAAGGAAGAGGAGCUGGGAGUCAAGCACAAUAAUAAGGCAGAUGAGAGCAGGGAUCUCACUGAAAAGGUGGUGGGAAGUGGACCAGCACGUCCAGGUCAGCAUCAGUGCCAGAGGCAGUGAUCAGGGUCUUACACAGCCCACUGUAUGUUCUGGGUGUGGACUAAUGGAUUUGGAGGCUUCUGUUUCUGACAGGCAUCUGCUGUUGAGUGGAUGCACUGGCAAAGUCUUGUUCAUGGCUUGUUCUUGGUCUUUGUUGCUGUUAGUGUCUAUUGAUAAAGGCCAUCACUACCAUUACGGGAAUCUUUGACAAACGAUGGUAUGACUCUUAAAUGAAGGGAGUCAGUAGGAACUUCCUGAAGACAACAGAUAUUUUGAGAGAUAAUACUAUGUCAACUGUGUGACCAUCAAACCUUGAGUAGGCAUCAGUUACCCAAGAAGCAGCAACAGCUUAAACCACUCAUUCUCACCUGUCAUAAAUGCUGUCACAUAUGAGGGUUUCUGAUAGGUCUUGGAGUAACCUUGUAUUCAGGGAGUUGUUGUUUCUGCUGUGGUUUCUCAUCUUUCUCAUUGAAGGCAAGCAGCAUUUCCUCACAGAACCAUCUACCAUGUUUUGGCCAAUGUGGUUGGCAUGCCCAUCACACAGGAUCAUGAGCCAUCCUGCAGCAUAGAAAAAACUGCAAAGAAAAAAGCAGUGUUUCUCUGUCUACUAGUCACAAAUGGCAUGUCUGAACAGCCUCUUUUUUUAAGAAAGGGACAAUUCCAUGCUCACCUCAUUACAAUGUUUUCCCUCUAAAUCUGGAGGAUACAAAAACUUUUAAAUUUACUUCUUACUCUGUGGGUCUUUUGCUUAGUUGUAAGGAAAAGCCCAAUUACCAAUGCUUCAGUAAUCACAUGAAGGAUUUCAUUUUAUGGAUGGUUGAACUGGAAAAUAAAAAGUCAUUACCUGUAAAAUAUCAUAAUUGAAUUCUUGAUGGCAGGGUCAAAUGCAUUUUUUAAAGUAAUGUUUAAAAGAGAUUAUAGUUUCAAAGGUGAUUUUUUUUCCCCAUAAUUUCCAAAUAUACUUCUCAGUGGAACGAGCAUUUUAUGAAGGUUAACGUGCUCUUUUCCAGUUCAACAGGUGCUGAAGCAUGUACUUUGCAACUGAAUACAUGAAGAGUUUACCUGUUGUAGAAGAAGCACAGAAACCUGAAUCUUGAGGAAGAUCUGAAUAUCAUGAUUUUAAAAUGCUGUCUGAAAGUAAAACUGUCCACUGUUGGAAAAGAUCUCUGGUCUUCUUUGAAAAAUGCAUGUAAAUAUGGCAUUUCUGCUCAAAAAAUUACUUUCCUGAAGCUAUUAAAUAUUGGGUUUUGUGAUUUUAGAAACUCGUUGUUGUUGCUACUUUAUUCAUGUUACCAGUGGAAAUAUAGAGAGAGAUGAGAGUAAUAUCUGUUCCCAUGUACCACCAAGAGAAUUAGAAGGGUCAUAGGGGUUAACAUGAAGAUUUCUAAAAGUAAUUUGGUAUAUUAAAAAUUUUCCAUAAAAAAGACAAGAUUCUCUUUCAGAGUCAAAUGUGUUGUGACUUACAUGAGUGCAAAUGGAAUGCAAAGAUGACUAAAAUAAUGCUAUUGGAGAAUUUUGUAUUGGUGUGGUAGUAAGAUAAGCAACUUACAAGGUGCCAGGUGUCAGGAAUGUUAGGGCUGACAGUCUUGUUGUGUUCUCUUUCUGAACACAGAUGUUAGCACAAGGAACUUUUCCUGGCAACAGUGUAAUGCUUCUUUACAUCUCUGCUAAUUAUAUUCCAAGCAAGAAAAGAAGAAAAAUUAAAUUGGCAGAGAGAGAGAGAGACUUCUUUAAGAUUCAAAGUUUUGAGCUCUUGUUUCACAUUCAUAAGACUGAAUAAGACUGACCAAAUCAAGCACUGUAUCUACAGGUCCAGAGCAAAUGUGGAGUAAUUUAGAAAUUACUUCAAAUUCAUAAGAGAACUGCAGAACAAGACCGUUUUAGGCUUAUGGGCAUAUUCUUCAAAACAAAAGUCUUUGUCUGUGGUGGGAAUAUACCCUUGAGAAGACUGGAGGAAAGCUCCAGAGAAGAAGAGGUCAAGCUGGCUGUUUGCUAACAUGAACACUGUCACUUCCCAAAGCAAUGGCAAAAUAAAUGCAUUGGGAGAAAUGUUCUCUGAGCCAUGGCCUGACAGCCUGAGUCUGUCAGUAUGUGACAGGAGCAUGUGAAGAAUAGUAAAAAUGAAAGCUGCAUACGGUUGUGUAUAGAGGUCAGCAAAUAUAGUAAGAUAAAGAGAUGCUGGAGUGCAAAAUGUCCAAAGCCUGUCUAGCAUGGUCAGCUUGUAUGAUUUUUGGCAGCUUUGUUCCAAGAUCCUGAUUUUUUUCGUUUGUUUGGUUUUAUUUGUUUUAUUGUUUGAUUGGUUGGUUUUGCUUGUAUUUUCUAACCUACAUCUUCUAAACUGCAUCUUCUAUAGUUAUACUUUUCAGAUCUACUUAUACCCAGUUCCUGACAGUGAAAAACAUGCUGUCUUUGGCAUAUUCAGACAAGGGAUGAGGUCCUCCUCUGUAUGGAUAUUUAUGAUAUUUAUGUUGGACAAACCUCCACUAGCUGGGCAUAUGGCAGUGCUAGAGGUCUGUUAAGAUCUGCCAGGAAAUGUCUUUUUGAGGGAUACAGUUAUAUUACAGUGUUAUUUUUACAGUAUUAGGGAACCAGCGUAUUCACAGCUUAACCAUUCAGUCACUAAAGCUAUGCAGUGGCAGUAAUCUAUUGUUUUGCAUUUCGAAGGUGGGUAGCAAACCUAUGGACAACGCUGAUGGCUACAUCAGAGUAAGCAUCAUGACUCCUCUCUCAACACACAUCUGAGCAAACACAUCUGGUUCCAAACCCAGGUCUUGGCUUGCUCAAUCAGUUCCUGCAGAAGAGAAGUGUAGCAAUCACAUAAAUACAGACUGGCAUAAAUGUAACUCUUAAAUCUCUCUCUCCUACCUCUUACUGAUUCCGAGGUCCUGUGGCAACUUUUUCUAUGUCUUGAUUCCUUACCUCGGCAGCCGAGGGAGGUGAAAGCUCCCAACAACUCCCACUCUGCUCAGCCCUGUGGGGAUACUUCCCUCCACACAGUAUUUAUACCCCUAAAUCCUUUUUUCUCUCUCACAUAUGCCACAAGUUGCAUCUUUACAUUCUCAUCACUCUCACUGAUCAUUUUGUGUGUUAACUCCUCUAGCUUUUUUAGCCUCUUCUAGGCCUUCCUAGUUUCUGCAGUCAUUCACGGACACAAAGGUUAGGAAAACUUCUGACAGCUCACUUGAGACAGCUGUGUACAAAGACUUUUUAGAAAGAGAGAUGGGUGAAUAAACAAAAUUCUUCCUUUUCUGGAUGCAUGGAAAUAUCAAAAUGUUAGAAAACCUCUCAUCAGGUGUGGGAAUAUUCAUUCUGUCCCAAACUGUUUCUCUUCAAGUGCUUUUCUCCUUCCUUUAUUGAGAAAUACUCAUUAAGUGUAAUUUAAUGUUAUUGCUACUUUCCCUCCUGUCUUUCCCUCUGCCUUGUGUUUGGGCAAGUUCCCAAACUCAUUAAUUAUGCAAAAUCCUUCCCCUGAGGUAAGCUUGAAAUUUAUUUAGGCUAAACCAAAUAAAGGCUUCAAAAGUAAAUACAGCCUUCAAGAUUCAGGUUUUUUUUUUUUUUUUUGACAUAUAUUUCUAUCAUUUUGGUCUGAGAAAUGAGAUGUGGCUCUGAGAAGGUUCCAAUAGUAAUUUCCAGGCUACAGUCUACUCAAAUAACUAACUCUGUGAAACAUGAGAGCUAGUACAAAUCUUCCCAAACUUGGAAAGAAAACAGUGCAAAGCUAAAGCUCAGUUGUAAAACAUUCAUGGCUGGCUUUAAGGUAACUGCCUGCCAGCACAUGAAAGGUUUGACUUGUAUCAUUUCUUCCCAUUAAUAGUCCUUCAAGAUGAAAAUAUAUACAGAAUGUGAAUUUCAGCUUAGUGCAUGGCUGUAUUUGACAGAACCUUUGUGCUGAUUGUGUGAGUUUAAUUUGAAAGCCAAUUACUUCUAAAAUUGCUUCUGCUUCUGCCCUUUUCUGUGGGCCGUGCUUGAAGUUUGCUUUAUUUUUACUAAUAUUUGAAAUAGAAGGGUACAUCAUAUGCUAGGCACUCAUUUCACAGUCAGAUUUGUUUCUCUUUAUAUGUUCUCAUACCUUUUUUCUUUUAUAACUCAUCUGAUCAAAAAGUACAAAUUAUUUUAUGCAAAAAAUGGCUUUUUAAGAUAUCUACUGUUGAACAAUUUUCUUCAAAAUCUAAAAGGAUUUUCUGAAAGAAUGUGUCUAAAUAAAGCCCUGUGAAAAUCCAUCUUGUGGCUUUACUCUGGAGCUGAGGAGGCAAACAGUGGCUUUGGGACAACAAGCCAAGUCAAACUUUCCUGGCUGUCUAUGCAGAUGAGGAUCUGAGGCUCCAAGAGCUGAAUCCCUGACACCAUUUGGCUACUGGCAUUCCUGUUGGCAGACAGCAGCUGUGAGUGCUAUGGGCUUCCAGGUAUUCUGUUGUGGAGCUGAAUUUCUGGGCUUGAAACAGUUGAUGCUAACUCCAGGCAUUCAAAUCAUGGAACCCAACAUGCCCCCUUGAACACCCAGAUACAAUUUCUGAGGAAAUUCUCAUGAUGAUUUUUCAGAGCAGCAGCAGGGUUCAGGUGUCCCUGAAAUGAGAUAGCUUCUUAUUUCAGCAUUUCUCAAGUAACUUUUAUGUAAAAUUUUGAGGUUUUGAAAAUGUUGAAAAUCCUCUCUUGCCUGGAACUACUUUUUUUUUUUUUUAAUUUUGAAAGAUGUAUUCUGCAUCUAAAGUUUUCUCCUACGUGCUUCUAUUUCUUCAUAAUCCUCAACUGACAAGAGCAGAAAAAUGUGUUGUGAUGUAUUGUUUAAAGACAGAUAAUGAACCUUGUCUCUUCACAUUUUACUUCAAAUGUAAUUUACUUUGUUUACUAGUGUCUUUGUCGUUAAAUGCCACUUUUUGAUCUUUUGAAUCAAUGGAUUUACAAUAUUUAAGGAAAUGAAAAGAGAUUAGGCUCUUUACAUCAACAGUGCUUCAGUGUGUUCUUACAAUGAAAACCUUCCACAUUACCUGAAUUUCCUGAAAUUACCUAAGUGUGUUUAUUUACUACUUCUGCAUUUUUAUGGCCUGUUUUGGGUUUCCUUUUUCUUAUCUUCAGAAAUGUUAAUUGAGGGAAAUUUGGGAAGUCAGAGGGUAGAUUAAUUUGCUUUGAGACAAGGACAAGUGAACUAAAAUAAAAAGAUCCCAAGAUAUUUAGCAAACAAUUUUGCAGAACUGGAAAAGUGCUUCUGAGGAAAGUCUCUUACCAGAGGUUUUUAACUGUCUUUAAAACUGGGAGGCUUUCUCAAAUACCUAUCUAAAGUUUGCAAAUAAAUAUUUUUCUGAGUCACAUCAUGUGUUGGACAUGGGGAACUUUGGAUCAUUAUGUUCCUCUUUGCAGCUUUCUCUGAAUUAUCAGAAUGUUUUAAUGGUCAGUCUCCAUGUUCCUUGUAGACUAAGCCCAUUUCUUCCAGAUUUUUUUCUUGGCUGCUGUUUUCCCUGCUUCUCGUAACUUUUGUUGCUCUCUUCUGAACUGUCUCUAAAUAAUGUAUUUUUCUAAGUGUGAUUUGGAAACAAGAUGAAAUACUCCAGCUAAAGCUCUGCCAGCACUAAGUUAAGCAGAAUAUCAGCUGCUGUGUUUUACGUACAAUAUUGUGAAAUGAAAUUUGCCCUUUUUUAUCAUAUGCUAUCUUGUUUACAGAUUUUACAGAAUAUUCUGAGUUGGAAGGGAUCCACAAUGAUCACUGAGUCCAACUCUUAAGUGGUCUAUAUGGAGAUCGAACCCAUAACCCACAACCUUGGUGUUAUUAGCACCAUACUCUAACCAACUGUUCAUUCAUCUUCAGUUUUUCAUACAUUCCAGAUAUCUUUCCUGAUUCUGCAUGUGAUUGUUCCCCCAUAUAUGUAGUACUUUCCACUUUGCUGUGCACUGUUAUCAUCUAUUAAUUUUCACUUCUGAUCACUCUUUUUGGUAAUUUUAUCUUGACGACAUUUCUCUUCUCACUUUGGUUCUGAGAAUACCACGUAAGGCUAUGUUAAAGCCUAUCUAAAGUUAAGGCACGUCACACCUAGCCCUGCCUGCUGAGACAAGACAAUGAUGGAGGGGUAAGUAAUUUUGACAACUGAAUAAAGUAAGGCUUGAAUACUGUUCAGCAGUGUUCUCACUCGAGGAGUAUCAGGUCCCUUUGUAUUUGCUUGGUGUUGACAGCCGGUGGGAAGGAAGGGCAUACCUGAACAGGCAUGAGGUCCUGGCUCCAUGGCCUGGAUGGGUCAGGCUCCAGGUGCUCCUGAGUUGAUACUCUAAGACUCCAAGCCCUGGGACCUGUCAGCUCAUGGACUUGGCUAGGAGUUUUACUUUAAUAUAUAGAUAGAUAUAUAUAUAUACCUCGAGGUAGCAUCAGAAGAAUAAGCCACAGGCUUGUUCCCAAGAAAUUUCCUUAGUAAUUUAGGGGAGCAAAUAAGGGAACUUGGCCAAAGUUCAAAAGGACACCACACAAGCUAGACAAAAAUGUUCCACCAUAUCACUGACGCAACAUAUACUAUUAAUCCACAACAUUUAAGUCAAAAUCCAAUAAAUCAACACUUAAAUCAAGAUCCAAUAAAUCCACAACACUUAAGGCAAAAUCCAACCAAUUCCACAAUCCAUAAAUCAUGAUCCAAUCCCUCCAGCUCCAAGCCACCCUAAGCAUCAAGAAAGGAGCAAAGAAAAAGAAGCAGAGGGAGCAAGAAGAAAGAAGGAGAAAGAGGGAGCUCCACUGAAGCCUUGUAGAAGACCAGCUCUCACAAAUCCAACAGCAGGGCCAUGACACGGGGCAAACACAUGCCUAUGGUUUUAUCUGCUCUGGUCCCUGUGGCCAACCCCUCCAGGUGGGGUCUCUGACCCACCAGCCACUCUGGGGGUUCCAGGCCCAGGUGAGAGGCAGUGUCCUCACUGUCCCUGCCAGUCGGAGGCUGGGUGGGGGGCUCCAGGAGCUGUGGUGUGUUAUAGUUUUCCUGGGUUGUUUGUGACACACAACUACUCUGGGGCUUCCCCAUGUGGCUCCAGGGGCUGCCAUGAGGGACAUGACAGCACCUCACCUCCAUGGGGUUCCACUCACUGCUUCCCCCUCCACACACACAUACUCACACACACACACCACACACACACACACACACACUCCCCACAAGGUGGUUCUGAACGAAUAAUAACUGAUCUGGUGUCUAACAUACUCCUUAGCCUGCGAUCUGCACUACUGGCUUUGAGUACACCCUUAUCAGACAGAUUAGAUCAAGGCUUUUCAAUCCUUUUCAGGUUGCAGUCAAACACUCAAAGGGUGUGCUCACUUGUGCAUAAUGAAUUUAAGACUUGUAACAUGGGGUUUCUUUUUUCCAGUAGAGCCAAUAUGUUGGAAGUAGGACUACUGCUUUAGAGAACCCUGUGAGAUCUGGAGCUUAGUCCAAAAUCACUUAUAAUCUCUCUUGCUUAAGUCUUCUCUUUGGCCAUUUAGUAGUGUUAGUUGCUUUCAUCUGGAUUCUGAAAAAAUAAAAGAUCACACUUUUUAAAAAAUAAGGGUUUAUUUUCCAUGUAAAAAUAUGCAGAGAAAAAAACCCCUUCUGUUUCAUAUUACUUGAGCACGACAGAUUGGGUAGGCAGUCUUGCUUUGGAUGGUGAGAACCACCAAAACCACAUAUACAGCCAUUGAAAAAUGUGGCAUGAGCAGUCAUGGACUCUUAGCACUGGGCUUUGAAAAUAGCUAUGGCACAUAUGGCUUAUAUGUGCAUGAGGAGCAUGUCAACAUGCAUCCUGACAGAUGCUGUGGUGGCUCCAGAGGAGGAGCCCUUUGCACCCCUUGGUGGCCAGAAAGAGCAAGAGUGUGCUGGUUAGGGCUGAGGUGCAAGUGGUCACCAUUCUUUUCCUUAGUGCCUUCCUGCUGGGACCAGGAGAGGUCCUUUCAGCACCAGGUUCUACUUUUUCCUACUCCCUGUCCUCUCCUGCUGUUAUUGUAGCUGUUAUCCUGGAGGUGUCUCUCCAAAGCUCAAGGCCCUUAGGCAGCCACCUCCUUUCCCUCCCCCCCCACUUUGCUUCCUGCAUUGUUGUAGAGUAGCUGAGAUGGUGCAAGUGUGCAGGUGUAUUGAGGUGGCAUGGAGCUUGCACUGGGCACACUGCUGUGCUGCUAACCAACCUGCAUUUGUUGAUAGCACUACUUUGUUCACUUCUGCACAUUUUCCUUACACUGGCAGCUUUCCAAACUGCAUGUUUUCAGUUAGAUAAUUUUCCCUUGUUUCUGUAUAAAAUGCUGUGCAAAAUGAUGAUGCCAUAGACAAAUUCUGAUCUUCCAAAAAUCUGCUUGUCCUUUGGGACAGGGAUGUAUGUGUGGCAUUUAUUUACCCUACAGGACUUGCAGAUGCAGAAAUUCUGUUGUAGAGAUGACUGGAUGAAGUGUACAUUCUCAAUUUAUUUUUAGCCCCCCAAGCUGCAGCAUUACUGUUACAUGUUGCUUGAAUAAAGCUUGAAUGACCCUGAUUAGAUGGUAGGAACUCCUUUGUGGAGUUAUGGCAGCACAAUUAAUUUAAAGUAGUUUGGUGGUGACAAAAUCCUAGUAUGAAAAUUUUGUCUUAGAAUUACUCCUUGGCCAUAAGGCAAACAUACUGAGCCAUGUAUUUUUUAUUAAAAAAGAAAAAAGAAAGUAAAAAAAAAAAAGGAAGGAAAAAAAAAUUGUAGUGCUGCUAAUGGCUUUUUACUCCCUUCCAAGGGCAAACUGUUCUUACUUUUUCAAAUUUCAUUGUGAUUGUGGCUUUUCGAAAAUGUUUGUUUAUGGCUGGUUUUUUUUCAAAAACUGUAUAGACAGUGUGGAAUUUAAAUCUUGAUUUCAAAGUAUGGUAUUUAAAUCAUACCUCAGUGAACUAAGUCAGUGUUUGAGUUUUGAUGUGCUUGAAAGGUGACAUUGGUGACAACGUCUAGAAACGCUUUCUUUGCCCACAUGACAAGAGACUGUAAAGAUUUCCUUGAUAAGGCAACAUAAUUUCUGUCCAUAUGACAUUAUUAUUAUUAUUAUUAUUAUCUUAAUUAUGAUUAAUUUUUAUCGGUGCAUUGAAAAACUGAUUUUUCAUCUUAGUGGCUUUCUUCUUAUAAAUUUUUUGUUUGCUGCUAUUUUGUUGUGAUAGUUCUCAGUGGCAUAUUGUCCUUCUCAUGGUAGAUGCAGCAACGAUGGAAAGAGUCCCAAAUGACUUUUCUCUACUCCUUGUUAUGCUGAAAGUGGUCUUAUGGCUGCAGAGCACAAGAUCUGGAAGAGUCUGGUGGAGAGAAUAAACGUUCUCCAUAGAAGCAAGAAUAUUGAUGGGCUGAAAACUUGUUCCUCGGCCAUCCAAAACUGGAAGUCUUUUGUGAGCCCUUUGGCAGGUGAACAAAAAAGGAUGUUGCAUGCCUCAUGAGCAGCUAUUAGUUGUAGGCUGGAGUACUUGGUUCUUCUUUAGUUCAAAUCUCAAAGAAAGACAACUCUAGAAAAUUUAAAGUCUACAGGAAGAGAUCAACUAUUCAGCAAAUGACAUGGAGAGUACACUAAAUACUGAUGUCUCUGUACUGCAACCACUGCACUCAAAAAACUCCUGCUGAAGUGAAAAGAAUUUUGAAUUCAAGUUUUUAUUUUGAGGUCUGCUAUUUAGUUUUUCUUUGACUUGUUUGAAGUCAAGAAUUUUAAAUAUUGUCUUGGUUUUGAGAUUUAUAUUCUGUUGCAGAUAAACUGAUGCUGGACAAUGUAGCUGGUUUUGAACAGCCCGCAUUUAAAGAUAUUGCACUUUAGUUCAUAACUUAAUUUGUAAUUAAAACAGGCUUGUUUGUGAAGCCAAUUCAAAUUAUAAUUCUGGCUCAGAAAUUUUAAGGGUGUUUUGGUGGGACACUGUGACUCAGGUGUAUAGUUAUAAAAAAGAAAAACAGAAAAAUAAUGAAAAAUUUUAGACAAGGCACUGAGUAAAGGAUUUUAUUUUUGUGUACUGAACAAGACAUAACAAAAUGCAAAAGCUAGUACUAAAAGCUGUAACAUGGAAGUAUUAAAUAAAGAAUGAGUGUUAAAUUAUAUCACA